rnacentral:rRNA from 1 species
UACGAAGGGUGCAAGCGUUACUCGGAAUUACUGGGCGUAAAGCGUGCGUAGGUGGUCUGUUAAGUCUGAUGUGAAAGCCCUGGGCUCAACCUGGGAAUUGCAUUGGAUACUGGCAGGCUAGAGUGCGGUAGAGGGUAGUGGAAUUCCCGGUGUAGCGGUGAAAUGCGUAGAGAUCGGGAGGAACACCAGUGGCGAAGGCGGCUACCUGGACCAGCACUGACACUGAGGCACGAAAGCGUGGGGAGCAAACAGG